GAUGAACGCUGGCGGCGUGCCUAAUACAUGCAAGUCGAGCGAACGGACGAGAAGCUUGCUUCUCUGAUGUUAGCGGCGGACGGGUGAGUAACACGUGGAUAACCUACCUAUAAGACUGGGAUAACUUCGGGAAACCGGAGCUAAUACCGGAUGAUAUUUUGAACCGCAUGGUUCAAAAGUGAAAGACGGUCUUGCUGUCACUUAUAGAUGGAUCCGCGCUGCAUUAGCUAGUUGGUAAGGUAAUGGCUUACCAAGGCAACGAUGCAUAGCCGACCUGAGAGGGGGAUCGGCCACACUGGAACUGAGACACGGUCCAGACUCCUACGGGAGGCAGCAGUAGGGAAUCUUCCGCAAUGGGGGAAAGCCUGACGGAGCAACGCCGCGGGAGUGAUGAAGGUCUUCGGAUCGUAAAACUCUGUUAUUAGGGAAGAACAUAUGUGUAAGUAACUGUGCACAUCUUGACGGUACCUAAUCAGAAAGCCACGGCUAACUACGUG
rnacentral:rRNA from 1 species